UGAAAAACCUUAAUUACCAAAAAAAAACAAAAAAAAAAAGAAUGAACGUAUUCAUUAGACAGGAUUAUCAGCUUAGUGACAGAAUUCUCUAAGAGGUCACGAUUAUGCAGAAGUUAAGAAUUUUUUUAGAACAAAUGAAUGCGCCAAUAAACAUGUUUUCUGAUAUACCAAAUAAAUCCUAAGAGCAUGGUUUCUAAUGCAAGUAAAUGUAUCUAAGAACAUGUUCUCUAACAUAAGAAAAUGGUCAUAAUAAACCUAAGGACAUGAUUUCUACCCUGUUUCCCCACAAGAAUAAUAUGAGAAAUCCUUUAUUUUUACUAAUUUACCCAAUAUUGUUUACAACAAUUAUUAUUACAGACAAUAAAUUACAAAAGGAACAAACUAUACUAUAGGGAGUCUGAAUUGAGGCCCAAAGUGAACCUAAAAGUUCCAGGCCUUCAAACAAUGCAAAAUGCCAUAAUCUCAUAGCGUCCAAGAGGAAGUAUCCUGGUGAGUCAAAGUUCUCAAGGGCCUCAGGGAUCCUGGGCAAUAAUCAUACCAAGAUCUUUUCAAACAUAGAAGUAGCUUUUUGUGCAGUGUGAAAGUGCCAGCCCAGUGUGCCAGAGUUCGAAGGAAUCUCAUAGAUUCUUUGGCAGUACACAUACUGGAGGGGCAGGAUCCUAAAUAUCCUAAGAGCAGGAGUGAGAGUGCUUGACUGAGUAGGAAUAACAUUAGGAAAACAGACCAGAAGUAAAAAAUAAUUUAAAAGCUAAAACACUUUAGGAGUGGGAACAAUUUAGAGAUGAAAACAUACUAGGCAUAAAAGCACUUUAAAGAUGAAAAUAUAUUAAGAGCGAAGACAGUUUGGGAACAUUCUAAAAAGUUCAGCAAACAGCAAGUAGAAUCCAGUCAUAGCACUUCAUAUUGCCCAGAUCCAAUAUUAGUUAACUCUAGGUGAGAGCAAGUAAUUUUAUAGAAAGGGGGUCAUGGGUUGGGAACAAAGGAAAAUUAAAUCAGAAAUACAUAAAAUAAGGUGAAAGUGAGAGCAUAUUGAGCAACAAGGACGUGGAAUAGACAAGGGUUGAUUGACAUUCAAUACCCAAAUUCUUAGCAUUCAUUAGAACAUAGACUACUGAUUUAAAGUCUUAACAGGAAAUUUAUACUUAAUGAUGGAGUAAUCACACUGGCUUAAGGCAAUAGAUAGGGAAACAUAGAAUAUAUGAGUAGUCAUGCUAAUUCAUAGACGAGAUAGGGAUUAAACUAUACAUCAUUGGUUAUACCAAUUGAAGUUAAUUAAGCAGAAAGAUAAGAGUCUUAGACAUAGUAAACAUGCCUUUUAAAGAAAAAACAGGAAAGAUUGAAACUUAAACAUGCUAAUUAAGGUGAUAAGCAAGAAAGGGCCAAAGUUAGAAUAGCAGUAGAUAUGCUAAUCGAAAUACAGGAGAAACAUGGAUUCAACAGCAAUAACAGAUAAAAGAGCACAUAGGUUCAAGUUUCAUGGUAUAGUAAACGACAUUAGGAAUAGAAAGAUACCAAUUAAAGGAAGCAAAUAGGAAUGAAAGGUAUGUGGGAUUCAAUAUAGUCUAGCCUUGGCUUUCAGCCGGCUAGACAAGCAAUGGAUACAAGUAGCAGAGAUGAGAGUAAAGUGUAUGUGAGUGUAUUUGUGAACUAUUAUUCGUGUGUUUAUAAGGCAGAAUAGGAGUGUAUAUAUAACACUUAGGGAGUAAAACAAAUAAGGUAAAGAGAAUCACAGUUCAAUCGAUUAAUCAAUCAGUCACUUAUAGAAUCAAUUUAUGUAGAGAAAUCCGGAAAAGAUCCCUUUAAUUAGGGAUAAGUAAUGGUCAGAACUGGGUUCAAUUAAGGUAAUAAAUCAAAAUCAUACCAUAUAGGGCGUUAGUAAGAUCCCCAGACUACUGAUAACUAAUUAGGGCAAGAAUAACCAAUUAAGGUCACAAAUAAGGAAACAAGUAAAAUCCCAGUACAUACUAAUUUUAAUAGGACAGUCAUUCGAAUCAAUUAAAAAAUCUCAAAGAAUAUUGAUUCCAACAAGAAAGAUUGCUCAAAAUCCUAAUAGAAAUUAAUCACGCAAAGAUCCUAAAGAAAACUGGUUUUUUAAUAGGGAAAAUUAUUCAAAUCCUAAAUAGAAUCCAUUAUUUCAUUGGUUUGACAGAAAAAUAUACAAAUAAUAGAGAACAAGUGGAAGAAAAUCAGUGCAACAGACAAAAUUAUCCAGAAUUUAUGUAGAUACGCGAGAAUCAGUCAAUAUUGUGAAAAAUAUUUAAUUUAAACACUGAUAGGUUAGAAAAACCUUUGAAGAAAGUCCGGGACAAAUCCUAAAUUCAGAACCAGUGAAUAAAAUUGAAGCAAUUAUCUAGAACAAAAGAUUUUCAAAGGAAAAUACCCAAUAAUACUCGAAUCCUUUCAGAUCUACAAAGAUCUAAACAGAUUCGAAUGGUAGUGAAACAAGGGUUUUAAAAAAUAGUAGAAAUAAAGAAACUCGGUCUAAAACCCGUAGAUUCAAACUAAAGUAGGAAGAGAUCCAUACUCACAAACAAAAAUGGCCCUAGACAGACACGUAAACAAGUUUAAGACAAAAACUCAAGUCGAAUCUCCUUGAGAUUCUUUUAAGGAUCCAUAUAAUCGAACAAGCAAGAGUUAUAGAAGGCUGGUAAGGACCAGAGAACACACAGAAACUCCAUAGAUGGGAGUUUUUUGGUCGGAUAGCGAUUAUGGUUAGAGUGUAAUUGAGAGAGAAACGGAGGGGUUAGGGGACGAAGGCAGCGAAAUCAGAGAGAAUGAGGGGAUUAGGGCCUUGGUUAGGCUUAAUUAUG
rnacentral:lncRNA from 1 species